AUUGAACGCUGGCGGCAGGCCUAACACAUGCAAGUCGAGCGGAUGAAGGGGGCUUGCUCCUGGAUUCAGCGGCGGACGGGUGAGUAAUGCCUAGUAAUCUGCCUUGUAGUGGGGGAUAACGUCCUGAAACGGGCGCUAAUACCGCAUACGUCCUGAGGUAGAAGGUGGGUGAUCUUCGGACCUCACGCUAUCAGAUGAGCAUAGGGCGGAUUAGCUAGUUGGUGGGGUAAAGGCCUACCAAGGCUACGAUCCGUAACUGGUCUGAGAGGAUGAUCAGUCACACUGGAACUGAGACACGGUCCAGACUCCUACGGGAGGCAGCAGUGGGGAAUCUUGGACGAUGCGGGAAAGCCUGAUCCAGCAAUGCCGCGUGUGUGAAGAAGGUCUUAGGAUUGUAAAGCAAUUUAAGUUGGGAGGAAGGGCAGUACGUUCAUCCCUUGCUGUUUUGACGUUACCAACAGAAUAAGCCCCGGCUAACUUCGUG
rnacentral:rRNA from 1 species